UUCUCUGUGAUAACUCCAGCUGUGUCAAGUUGACACAAAACUAGCCAGCACAGUCUCACUCAGAUACAUCAACACUAUUUAGUCAGAGCCCUUUUCAUCAAUUCAUCUUGAACCAGCUAAACAACCAGCCCUAAAUACAUGUUGGUCUUCUGUGGAACUAAAGUCAAAUCUCUUAAAUACAGCAAGUUGCAGCUCAUGAGUCUUUCUAUGAAAUUAUCCCAGAGGUGUUCACCGUAAGCCUCCCUGCCCCCAUACCAGAAGCAAGAGUGGCUCGGGAAGCUGCUGGGGGCUUAAGGAAGCAUUGAUCAUCAUCUGGAAUUGCCUUUUAUUCUCAUGGUCUCUGCACACUUAAGGCUUUUUAUCUGUGACUGUAAAAUAUGACUUGCCCCAUAAAACAAGUGUUUAAGAUGCUUGACUCUCAUCAUGAGCUAUUCAAAUAGGAACCUCAAAGGGGACAGAACUGAUUAUUAUAUUCAUAUCAGACUGACCUUGACCAUACAGAUAUGGGUGUUUAUGAGGGGUGCUAAGUACAAUGCAGGGAAGAGGUCAUCUUUUGGGGUGCAGAGUAUAUUAAUGUUAAAACUGUAUGAAGACUCUUGUCAUCGAAUGAGAGCCUUGUUGCUCCUUGCUUAUGGAAAUGGAUGCUCUCUUUUUAUUUUCCCCAGCCAGAUUCCAGCAUUGCUGUCUGAAUGCUAUUCAAAAUAUCUGAGCCCUCCCAGCUGCCAGUCUCUGUGAGUUUAAGACAGGAAAUGCAAAGUGGUUUUGGCCCAAGCACAAAAAUGUGGAGCAGAACAAAGAGCCUUCUGUGGAAUGAACUUUAUUAAUUUUGUGUCAUUUCAAUCUAGGUGUUGACCACAAGUGACCAGUUCCUGUGGAUGUUUUGACUGGACACUUUGGGAAAGUGGCAAAGUUCUCUUGCGUUUACUUAAGCAAGGACAUGAAGUAAUUGGAAAUAUGGUCCCAAGAAACUCUUGGGGCUCGGGCAUAUCUCUAACAUCCUCACCUUUAUCUCCACAGCCACAUCAUUCUUGAAAUGCUGCAGGUGCUUUCUUCAUGUGGUGUUGAGGAGGAGACUUCCCCUUGCUCAACUUUGGUCAUAAUGAAUCAGGUUGUCACGGAGGUUUGUCUGGAUGGAUACCUCUGCUUGAUCCAUUCCCCCCAACAAUACUCAAGCAAGCUCAAGCCCUCAAGUCAUUGAGCCUUCAUGUUUUAAUGUUGAUGGAAGGUGGUGAGAGUUGACCUCGGCAUAGCUUGUACCUGUUUGGACUUCUAGACUAAUGGACUCUGCCUCACAGAUCUUCCACACAUGCCUGGAGCCUGCAGCGCUAGUGCCUGAUGGCACCCAGCUCAGAAAAGAGUGCAGUUCAGGUUAUCUCUGGCUGUUUAGCAAACUGUCCUGAGUAGGGGCAUAAACACUGACAGCUCAUCAUUCUCCACGGCUUUCCUGAAUUGGGCAAUUCUGCUGGAACGUUUCCCUGCUGGACUCCGCUGAGGUUUG